rnacentral:misc_RNA from 1 species
CGGGACUUCUUGGCCCCCUUCCUUUCACCAUUCCCCACUAUUGAUGCCUGGUCCCCGAAUCCCAUUUCAAAAGUCUCAGAGCAGUCGUCCCUUAAAGAAUUGGAGUUUGAGUCCCUGUCAGGAACCACCACCUUGGGUCCAUGGAAGUAAUCCACAUUUGCUGGUGACACUUUGGCAUUGGAAGCAGAAGCAGACUUCAACUCGUCAAUCUCAGCCACCACAGCAGCAGCAGUUUUCCUAAUAGAGUUAGACCUGUCAAGGCUCCUCCUCCUCCUAGACGAAGAAUCAGAAUAAUAGUCCCUGGUUUGAGCAGAGCCACCAGGAACAAUCUCAUCCUCGUGGAUGGAAUUCAUGGGA